rnacentral:pre_miRNA from 1 species
AGUGGCAUUGCUGGGUUAUAUGAUUACUUUGUAUUUAACCUUUUGAGGAACUGCCUGACUAUUUUCCAACGUUGCUAUACUAUUUUACAUUCCCACCAGCAAU